UUGCUCACUUCAACAGCACAUAUACUAAAAUUGUAAUCUACAGAGAAGAUUGGCAUGUCCCCUGCACGAGAAUGACACACAAACUCAUAAAGCAGUCCAUAUUUUG
rnacentral:snRNA from 1 species